rnacentral:misc_RNA from 1 species
GGGCGAAUCAAUUUCGAACAGCUGAUCAGGUUCCUGAGCUGAUGCAUAUGCAAGGAAAGCCACCUAGUGAGAAACAAUUUGAAAUUUUGAUCAGAAUGCAUGGUGAUGCUAAUAGGGGUCUUAGAGUAUACUAUGUUUAUGAGAAAAUGAAAAAAUUUGGGGUAAAACCAAGAGUUUUUUUGUAUAACAGAAUAAUGGAUGCUUUGGUUAAAACCAAUCAUUUGGACUUGGCUAUGUCAGUUUAUGAUGAUUUCAAGAAGGAUGGGUUGGUGGAGGAAAGUAUAACUUUCAUGAUCUUGAUAAAGGGCCUGUGCAAGUUUGGAC